ACGGCCCAGACUCCUACGGGAGGCAGCAGUGGGGAAUCUUGCGCAAUGGGCGAAAGCCUGACGCAGCCAUGCCGCGUGAAUGAUGAAGGUCUUAGGAUUGUAAAAUUCUUUCACCGGGGACGAUAAUGACGGUACCCGGAGAAGAAGCCCCGGCUAACUUCGUGCCAGCAGCCGCGGUAAUACGAAGGGGGCUAGCGUUGCUCGGAAUUACUGGGCGUAAAGGGAGCGUAGGCGGACAUUUAAGUCAGGGGUGAAAUCCCGGGGCUCAACCUCGGAAUUGCCUUUGAUACUGGGUGUCUUGAGUAUGAGAGAGGUGUGUGGAACUCCGAGUGUAGAGGUGAAAUUCGUAGAUAUUAGGAAGAACACCAGUGGCGAAGGCGGCUCACUGGCCCGGAACUGACGCUGAGGUACGAAAGCGUGGGGAGCAAACAGGAUUAGAUACCCUGGUAG
rnacentral:rRNA from 14 species